AUAAGAACUGAGGGGGACAGAGGAGAAGGACUGUUGCAGCCGACAAAGCAUGGUGACCCAGCUUGUCACCCAGUGACCUGUGAGAAGGAAAUAAUGAACUGAGUUGUUUUCCACAUGAGUGGUGUCUUCACCCAGGCAUACAUCCGCAGAACGGUGGAGGUCAGGGUGAUGAAGGAGGAGCGGGCUUGGCGGCACACAUGCACUCUAUUCCUGACAGUGUCUUGCUUCAGCAAAGGGAAGUGAAGCGCGUAUACCAUGCUCAGUGGCAUUUCCAAAUGCAGCUCAGCUGGGGGCCUGUGCUUAUUGCAUCAGUGGCACAUACUGAGAAAAAAAGGAAAUACAUAAUUUUGUCAAAGUAGUAGAUCACAAUCUCCCCCUCCUCCUUGAAAAUCAUCACCGGCACACACUAAUAGCUCUAAUAGAUACAGAUUUUAUGCAUAUUUCAGUCACAGCAGUAUUUCUAAUGCAUAUGUGAAAGGGUCCUUAAUUUAUGUCUACCAACUGUGUGGUGCCCUUCUUUUGGGUAAUGUCAUCAUCCUAAUGGUGUUUCUAUUAUACUCAAAGGUAGCAAAUGAGGCUUAUUGCAGGAAGGUAAUUGAUUUUCACUGAGUGAAAAUGUAAAUAGCCAUAAGAAAUCCCAUGAAAGACAAGCAGUUCAAAAUUGCCAGAAAAAAAAAAAUAUAUUUGUAUACAUUACUUAUUGGUUUUAGUACCUGUAAAAUGUUUCUUAUUUUAAGAAUUCCACAUUGACUGUAUUUCGCAUUAUUUUAUUUCAAAUUGAAGUAAAAAUUGGAGAAUUUAGAUGAUUUUGUCUUUACCAGUUUGACUGUACGUUUUAUGAAAAUUACUAUCGUGCUCAGUAAGGGUGCUUCAUUUUGUCAGGUUCCUCUGAAGUGGAAACGCUGUGAAUAAAAUUCCUGAACAUAGAAGAGUAAAGAAAAAUGGUCUGGAAUUUCAGUGGUUCCUGCUACAUUCAACUUGUGAAUAUCGGUUGUUAUCAACAAGUGGCUACGUGGGUAAUCUGGAAAUAAUCUGCCAGAAAAGCAGUUUUGUUUAUACACAGCAUGGUAGAUUGAGUCUGUGUGGAGAAAACUGUGACCAGGAGCAGGAACGUGACUGUAUGAAAAGAAUGUGGUUAGCACUGCCUCCUAACUAGUUCAGAACUCGUCCAUAUGAAGUUCAAGAAAGAGACUGACCGUGUGAUACCAAUCAUUGCUCAUGACUGAUUUGUGAAAACUUUUUCUCCGGGUGCUAAUUGUGAGGCCAUUCUGUGGUAAGGGCAACUAAAUCAGCUAUGAUAUUACAUUGCCACCAUUCCAAAACUAAUGGAAGUAUGCAGACAAGCAGUGACUUAAAUCUGCAACUUAUUCUAAACAUUACAUAGUAAUGAAGAGUUCUUACUAUGAGUUUCAAUCUUGGCUCCUGUACCAAACCUAGCACCUCUCCCAGUCAACAGAUCUACUUAACAUCAAGGGAAGAGAGCCUCACAGAACAUAUGUAGCAGACUCAAGGCGUAAAGUGUGUGUCAAAUACAGCUGUACACCAACUUCCUGUAAGAGAUGUUCUGCUGCUUUUGAAGAAGUAAAUGAAUAAAGAAGUGGAGGAGAAAAAAAGGGACAACAGACAAUACAGGAGAUAAUUUCGAUCAUGAUCUAGUUGUCAUUGUGAGCUUUGAAUGAGCAUUGACUCCUUGGGGGAAGAUGUGUAAAGGAAGAGCUAAAGCCAUUGGCACUGCUGAAGAAAUGGCUGUAACAGUGCAGGUGAGUUUAAUAAUUUUCAGCAUUUCUUGAUUCGUCAAAGACCAUCUUCAUCUAAAAAGACAUCUGCAGAAAGCUAGCAGAAGUCUGAGUUUCCUGUGGAGAGCAGCUUUGUCUCUGAGUGGUAUGCGUUCCACUCCUCCUCUGUACCCCGAAACCAGAAGAGAUGGGAUUGGAGCUGCCUUCCUGUGAAAUGGCGGGCUGGUGUGUGCGACAGGCCACCGAAGGGCUGCCUCCAGGGAAGGAAAACCAUCGAGUAAUGAUUGCCUUUCCUCCAGGGAAAAGCUGUGCCCGUCCCAUCUACCCUUAGUCCACUUUCAUGUAACCUUUAGGAAGGUAAUAUACCUGAGUGCUGUAUUUGGCUGCCACGUUGGAUUGGAAUUAGCCAUUGAUUGUGAGAGACGUUAUGGGAAGGAGCAGCAGGUAGACUGGCUAUUGCAUAAGCCUCAAUUCCAUAGAUAACGAGGCAGAUUUUCUGGUUCUUUUCGUUGAUUUUCUGAUGGUUCUUACUUAUUAGGAUAAGAGCUUUAAGCAGUGGGGUUGUUAAUAAAAUACAAUAAUAAUAUCUUUGCUGCCUUCCGCAUGCUAGGAUAGUUUACGUAAUUAAAAAACAACUUUAGAAAAUGCAAAUUUUCUUCCCUUUUUGUACAUCUGCAUACUUUCGUGGAAUUUCAUACUUCAGUUAUAUUCAAUUAUUUGCUUAUAGUUGAAUCUCCCUAAUUCUUCCUAGCUCUGCGUAUUUUUAAAAAUUAUUUUCCAUAAUAUUGCUAGUUAUACUGACUAAUUACUAUAAAUCCAUAUUUUUCUAUGAGAAAUAUAAGCAGUCCAAGUGUUCUAUUGAUUUUAUGAUACAUUUAGAAAUGCACUGAUAUUUAUGGAUUUAGGAGUAUAUAUAUUACAAGAUAUUACCAGAUUUAAAUGUUUUUGAAAGACCAGAUUUGUUCAUACAGUUCGGUAUUUGGACACAGUUUUGACUUGGAGAAGUUCUUCCCACGCAGAUUUUUGACACAGGGAUGCCCUAAGAGUCGCUUGAGGAAUAACGUUGUCUUUGUUGGGGAAAUUAAGUAUUAGAGAGCAAGUUAAAUUAUGCAUUUGAACAAAUGAGUUGUAAUGCUUGGUCCUGGCUAAAACAGAAGAAUGGAAUUCAUCACAGUCUUUAUAAAUGAGGUGACUAUAAAUACAGAUACAUACAUGUAAAUACAAAUCUGAUCAAUAGACUUUUUGUUCCUUUUACUUAGUCUGAACAGAAUAAUAUCCCUGUAUUUACCAGAGCUUUAUUUUCAUGAAAACUUGUUCUUAGUUACAAAUCACUUUUUUAGUAUUUCAGGCUCAGUAACUGGAAAGGUAUUAUUUCCACCUCGGGAAAAUGAGUAACAGCCUUUAAGCCAGCGAUACUGGUUCACACAAGAAGCUCCAUCCUGCCCGUGGUAGUGAAAGUCUGUGGGGGUUGGAUUAAAGAGCUCGUGAGAUAAUGGAACUGGUUGCAGACAUAUGGUAUACAGAGAUAUUUUAAUAUAUUUUGUGUGAAUAUGUUGCAGAAUAAAAUAUUUUUCAGAUUCUUAAAGAACUUUGUCAGAAAUUUUGGUUUCUAAGGACGUCAAUGAUAUACUGAUCAGGUAAAGUAAGCAGAUGCUAUAUUACAUUAUUCUUAAGGGCCUAAGCAAGAUACUCUAAUAUGCAUGCAAUUUAAGCACAAAUAUAUUUUGACUGACUAAAAAUCAAGAACUAUGACCUUUAAAAAGAUGGAAAAAUACUGAUAGAGAUGCGCAUGAAUAAUGACAGAUAGGACAAUAAAUGGGACUGAUAGUUUCAGUGCUAACAAAUCCUGAGGGUAACUGUGAAAACAUGGGAAGAGCAAGGAGUUGAGGUACUGUUUGCUUUGGAAGCAUUUAAAAUUUAAAUAGUAAUUUUUAUCCAAUGGAUAAGCAGUUAAUGUUUUAGGAUGUGGCCAUGCAGAGGAUAUGUCAUCAGAUCUUAAGCCAUUGUAUAUGUAGCAGAGGAUUUUUUUUAUUUUUAUUUUGACUUUGGAGACAUGUUCAUCAAAACUGCAUCGGCAUUAUGUGGAGAAACAGCAACUGGUGCUGAUAACCUUAAUACUGUGUAGCCUGUUGAUGUGUUAUGUAGCAUGUUGAUGGUGUUGACAUCAUGAAGUAAGACCCAACUAAAGAUAAUGAGUAAUGCCCCAAGAUCAGAUUGGAGAGAUUAUCUAAGCAUAUGGUGUAUGAUACAAACUGUGUACAAUACACAUUUCUAUCCUAAAUAUGGAAGGCAGAGGAAAAGCAACGGUUUUGUAAUUGAGUGUUAUAUCAGUAAUGACUGUUUUCUACAGUAUAAGAUAAGGCUAGAUUUUUACACGAAAUAUAAAUAAAAAAUGAGAUCGUUAUUAUGGGUAAACAAUAUCUGAACCAUCUGUUGGCCAUAAUCAACUCCUGCCUCAACUGAAUUAGAUAUCACUCCGUAAGAUGCAUUCAGCUUAGCGUACACAUCGUUUUUUGUUGGUUUUUUUUUUUGCAUGCCACUAGACCAUUUGAUGUGAAUCUAUUUAAUUAGUAAGCUUAAAAUCGUGAGAGAAAUUUGUGAUCAUUUGUUUCCCUUAAUUUUUCACCUUAUAUUUACUCAGAGUUGCAUCCUAUGGGAAUUUCUUCGUUAUUGCUUAAACUACCAUCACCUGAGCAGAGAUGUCUGUGUGACCAACCAGCUGCACAAAGACUUGCGCUCAUCUGAACUGUUAUAAACGUGAUCAAGAAAUCAGUGCAUCAAGAGGAACAACUAAAGAGGUAGCCACAACUUCUAGCUAAAUGCACAACAGCCUGAUAAAGCUGUUUGUACACCAGACAAAGAACUGCAUAAGAGAUGUAGUUCUAUGUGUUUCUUCAGGAAAACCUCCUGUGAGCAGAGAAGUACAAACAAUCAGCAAGGUCCAGCUGCCACACAUACUGGUGUUUCUCCUCCCAAGAAAUGGAGAUUUUUUGAUACAAGCUUUCUACAUACAGUCUAGGACUGCUGAGGGGUCCUGUCUAAUCAUCGUGCUCAGUUACACAUCUGAUCUACUGUCUUCAGAUGGCAAAGAAGAAAUCCCAGCUAUUUGAAAACCACAGGUACCUCGGUGGUGCGAGUGUCUGCUUAUGGUGAAGUUUUGAAGUCUCUAUCACAGCUCCUGUCCGGAGUUUUGAAGAUUGCUGCAAUUGACAAAGCCAAAAUCUGACCUGCAAAAAGAAGAAUAUAAGGAAGGCUCAUCAAAAGUUCUCUGACCAACUUUUUGUUUCCCACUCUCACCGUUCUGCUCCAGCCUCGUCCCUCGGAGGGGAAGGACAGCGG